GUUGCCGGUUUGUUUUUUCUUCAGUGUGCCUGUUUAUUCCAUCACAGUUACAGGUUUUUAUGGUGUUGAGGCAAAAAGGGAGAGGACCCAUAUGUACAGAUCUAAGCUUCAAAGGUGGGCGUCAUGAUUGCAGGCGCCGAGAGAUGCACCUGAGAGAUGAAGGGGGACAGGGAUUCUGCCGGAGACCAAGGUCACAGUGAGGGUGAACACCUUCAGAGCAUUACACCAAAGCCAGGGAGCAUCAUUGGUUCUCAGUCAGUUUGCAAGUACUCGAUGAUUUUGGCUUUGAAGUCCUUGCUAAACUGGCCGCGGUUGCAGACUUCUUAUGGUGUUCAGGUUUGCAGGGAGCUGGACCCUAUCCUAGCUGAAUUCAGGUGAAAGAUAAACUACACCAUGAACCAAUCACAGGGCAUAUAACAAGAUUGGCAACCAGUCACACUCUCAU